ACGAACGCUGGCGGCGUGCCUAAUACAUGCAAGUUGAACGAUGAUUUCUGGUACUUGUAUCAGAAUGAAGAGUAGCGAACGGGUGAGUAACGCGUGGGUAACCUACCUCUUAGCGGGGGACAACUAUUGGAAACGAUAGCUAAUACCGCAUAACAAUGCUUAACACAUGUUAAGCAUUUGAAAGUACCAAUUGGUACACUAGGAGAUGGACCCGCGUUGUAUUAGCUAGUUGGUAGUGUAAUGGACUACCAAGGCGAUGAUACAUAGCCGACCUGAGAGGGUGAUCGGCCACAUUGGGACUGAGACACGGCCCAAACUCCUACGGGAGGCAGCAGUAGGGAAUCUUCGGCAAUGGACGAAAGUCUGACCGAGCAACGCCGCGUGAGUGAAGAAGGUUUUCGGAUCGUAAAACUCUGUUGUUAGAGAAGAACGUUGUG
rnacentral:rRNA from 1 species